UGCAGUCGAACGCGAAAGUCCCCUUCGGGGGACAAGUAGAGUGGCGCACGGGUGAGUAACACGUAGGUAAUCUACCUUCGGGUGGGGAAUAACAACCGGAAACGGUUGCUAAUACCGCAUAAUGCAGCGGCACCUAAUGGUGACAGUUGUUAAAGCGGGGGAUCGCAAGAUCUCGCGCCUGAAGAGGAGCCUGCGGCGGAUUAGCUAGUUGGUAGGGUAAUGGCCUACCAAGGCGACGAUCCGUAACCGGCCUGAGAGGGCGGUCGGUCACACUGACACUGACAUACGGGUCAGACUCCUACGGGAGGCAGCAGUCGGGAAUUUUGGGCAAUGGGCGAAAGCCUGACCCAGCAACGCCGCGUGAAGGAUGAAAUCCCUCGGGAUGUAAACUUCGCAAGAACGGGAAGAAUAAGUGGAAGUUAAUACCUUCCAUGAUGACGGUACCGUUUGUAAGCUCCGGCUAACUCCGUGCCAGCAGCCGCGGUAAUACGGGGGGAGCAAGCGUUGUUCGGAUUUACUGGGCGUAAAGGGCGCGUAGGCGGCCUCCGCAAGUCAGUUGUGAAAUCUCCGAGCUUAACUCGGAAAGGUCAACUGAUACUGCGGGGCUAGAGUGCGGAAGGGGCAACUGGAAUUCUUGGUGUAGCGGUGAAAUGCGUAGAUAUCAAGAGGAACACCUGCGGCGAAGGCGGGUUGCUGGGCCGACACUGACGCUGAGGCGCGAAAGCUAGGGGAGCGAACGGGAUUAGAUACCCCGGUAGUCCUAGCCUUAAACGAUGAAUGCUUGGUGUC
rnacentral:rRNA from 1 species